rnacentral:rRNA from 1 species
GAUGAACGCUGGCGGCGUGCCUAAUACAUGCAAGUCGAGCGAACAGAUAAGGAGCUUGCUCCUUUGACGUUAGCGGCGGACGGGUGAGUAACACGUGGGUAACCUAUCUAUAAGACUGGAAUAACUCCGGGAAACCGGGGCUAAUGCCGGAUAACAUGUUGAACCGCAUGGUUCUACAGUGAAAGGCGGCUUUGCUGUCACUUAUAGAUGGACCCGCGCCGUAUUAGCUAGUUGGUGAGGUAACGGCUCACCAAGGCAACGAUACGUAGCCGACCUGAGAGGGUGAUCGGCCACACUGGAACUGAGACACGGUCCAGACUCCUACGGGAGGCAGCAGUAGGGAAUCUUCCGCAAUGGGCGAAAGCCUGACGGAGCAACGCCACGUGAGUGAUGAAGGUCUUCGGAUCGUAAAACUCUGUUAUUAGGGAAGAACAAAUGCGUAAGUAACUGUGCGCGUCUUGACGGUACCUAAUCAGAAAGCCACGGCUAACUACGUG